rnacentral:rRNA from 1 species
UACGAAGGGGGCUAGCGUUGUUCGGAAUUACUGGGCGUAAAGCGCACGUAGGCGGAUUGUUAAGUUAGGGGUGAAAUCCCAGGGCUCAACCCUGGAACUGCCUUUAAUACUGGCAAUCUCGAGUCCGAGAGAGGUGAGUGGAAUUCCGAGUGUAGAGGUGAAAUUCGUAGAUAUUCGGAGGAACACCAGUGGCGAAGGCGGCUCGCUGGGUCGGUACUGACGCUGAGGUGCGAAAGCGUGGGGAGCGAACAGG